CAGUAGCCGCGGUAAUACGUAGGUGGCAAGCGUUGUCCGGAAUUACUGGGCGUAAAGCGCACGUAGGCGGAUCAGAGAGUCAGAGGUGAAAUCCCAGGGCUCAACCUUGGAACUGCCUUUGAAACUCCUGAUCUUGAGGUCGAGAGAGGUGAGUGGAAUUCCGAGUGUAGAGGUGAAAUUCGUAGAUAUUCGGAGGAACACCAGUGGCGAAGGCGGCUCACUGGCUCGAUACUGACGCUGAGGUGCGAAAGCGUGGGGAGCAAACAGGAUUAGAUACCCCAGUAGUCCCUGUCUCUUAUAC
rnacentral:rRNA from 1 species